CUUCCUUCCUUCCUUUCUUUCUUUCUUUCUUUCUUUCUUUCUUUCUUUCUUUCUUUCUUUCUUUCUUUCUUUCUUGACCCAGUUGUCAUUGAGUAGAUGUCGUUUCUCUUGUUGAAGUCCAGUUUUAACCCAUAGUAAUCUGAUAAAAUGCAAGCGCUUAUUUCACUUCCCUUGUAUCUGGUGGUUAAAACUGUUCUUUUGAUGUUGGUGGUGGUAGUGUGUGUGUUCAUGUGUGUUUGUUUGUGUAUGCAUACAUGUAUUGCAUCUUUAUUUCAUUAUGCUGGUAUGAAAUUAUGUAUUUUUUGUUUUAUUUCUUUUGGGGGGGGGUGUAGUUACCCUUCUUGUGUUGGAGUUUUCUUUCUAGUAUCCACUGUAGGGAUGAAUUAAUGGAAAAAAUAUUGUUUAAAUUUGCUUUUGUCAUGGAAGAUCUUGUUUUCUCCAUCUCUGGUGAUUGAAAGUUUUUCUACGUAUAGUGGUCUGGGCUGACAUUUGUGGUCUCUUAGGCUCUGCAAGACACCCACCAAGGCCUUUCUAACUUUUAGAGUCUCUGUUAUAAAGUCAGGUAUAAUUCUGAUAGGUCUGCCUUAAUAUAUAUUUGGCCUUUUUCCUUUAUAGAUUUAAUUCUUUUUUAAAAAAUCAAAUUUAGUGUUUUGAUUAUUAUGUGGCACAAGGAUUUAAUUUUCUGGUCCCAUCUAUUUGAUAUUCUGUAAGUUUCUUGUAUAUUUAUAGGCAUCUCUUUCUUUAGGUUAGGGAAAUUCUUCCUUUUCUGGGCCUUUGAGCUGGGAAUCUUCUCUUUCUUCUAUUCCUAUUAUUCUUAGGUUUGGUCUUUUUACAGUGUCCCAAAUUUCCUGGAUGUUUUAUGUUAGAAACUUUUUAGAUUCAGCUGUUUCUUUGACCAAUGUGUCAAUGGCUUUCAUUGCAUCUUCUAUGCCUGACAUUCUCUUUUCUACCUUUGUAUUCUGUUGGUGAUGCUUGUUCCUAUUGUCUUUCCUAGGAUUUCCAACUCCAGUAUUUCCUCAGUUUGUGUUUCCUUUAUUGCUUCUAUUUCCAUUUUCAGGUCUCUAACAGUUUUAUUCAUUUCCUUCACUUGUUCGAUUGUGAAGUUUUCCUGUAUUUCUUUAUAUUUAUUCAUUUCCUCUUUAAAGGCCUCUACCUGUUUGUAUUUUUCUGUAUUUCUUUAGGAGAUUUAUUAAUUUCCUCUUUAAAGGCCUCUAUCAUUUUCAUAAGAUUAGUUUUAAGGUCAUUUUCUUGCUCUUCAGAUAUGUUAGGCUAUCCAGGGCUUGUUGUAAUAGGUUAGCUGGGUUCUGGUGGUGGCAUAUUGGUCUGGAUUUUGUUGAUUGUGUUCCUACACUAGCCUUUAACCAUUUGGUUGUCCCUGGUGUCGUCAGGCCUAAUAGUUUCUGAUGACAACAGGCCUCUGGGAUUGAAGGUUGAGCUGGUAGACCCUCUGGGCUGUAGGCCUCUGGGAUUUCAGGCAGAGCUGGUGGUCAUUGGUGGCAUCAAGCUUCCAUGGAUGGAGGCAGAGUUGAUAGACCUGGAUGGCAUUAGGUCUCUGGAUGCCCUGGGUGGCAGCAGGUCUUGGUAUUCAGGUAGAGCUGGUGAUCCCUGAGGUUUACAGGUCUCUAGGAUUGCAGGCAGAGCUAUGGGCCAGAACAUGGACCACAGAGGGGACAGAGCCGACCUCAGGGCAGCUAGACUUGCCAGGGACCCAGCGGGCAGGGGCUUGCGGUUUGAGGUUUUCCGGUGGCAGCAAGUCCCUAGGGAUGCAGGUAGAGAUGCAGGUCAGGGAAUGGAAUGCAGAUGGGACCAGGCAGAACUGGAUGGUGCUGGGUUUGCCUGGAGGGGCCACAGGCAGGCAAGAAAUUGGGGUAGGAGAUUCACCUGGUGGUCCCCAAUGGCUACAGGACUCCAGGAUUGCAGGUAGAAUUAUCUCUACUUUCUCUGUUAAUAAAGGUUCUAUUUUCUCUCUGAUUCCUAAGAAUAACAUCUUCAAUUUCUCUCUAACAUUUAGCAUUACUAUGCUUAUACUCACCCAGCUGAUGACUUUCUUUCUAAUGUCAAAGUAAACAGACUUUCUUUCUAAUGUCAAAGUAAACAGAUGGUGAUGGGUUUAAGUUUCCCCUCCAUGGUGUCGACACUUGGUUUUUAUUUUUUUUUUCUUUCCAUAAUUUAUUUUUUUUAUUCGCUUUACAUUCCAAUUGCAGCCCCCUCCCUUCUCUCUUCCCAGCCCCGCCCUUACAACUCUCCUCCCCAAUAUCCCCUCUUUGUCUCCUCAGAGAAGGGAAGGGAGAGGAUGGGCUUAGUCCUGCGGAAGCUAGAUGUCCCAGGGUGGGGUCCUCAUCUUUCUUAGUAAUGUAGCAGCUAAGUGGUCUCUCCAUCCAUCCAUCCAUCCAUCCAUCCAUCCAUCCAUCCAUGUAUCCAUGUAUCCAUGUAUCCAUCCAUCCAUCCAUCCAUGUAUCCAUCCAUCCAUCCAUCCAUCCAUCCAUGUAUCCAUCCAUCCAUCCAUCCAUCCAUGUAUCCAUCCAUCCAUCCAUCCAUCCAUCCAUCCAUCCAUGUAUCCAUCCAUCCAUGUAUCCAUCCAUCCAUCCAUCCAUCCAUCAUCCAUCCAUCCAUGUAUCCAUGUAUCCAUCCAUCCAUCCAUGUAUCCAUCCAUCCAUCCGUCCAUCCAUCCAUCCAUCCAUGUAUCCAUGUAUCCAUCCAUCCAUCCAUCCAUCCAUCCAUCCAUGUAUCCAUCCAUCCAUCCAUCCAUCCAUCCAUCCAUCCAUCCAUGUAUCCAUCCAUCCAUCCAUCCAUGUAUCCAUCCAUCCAUGUAUCCAUGUAUCCAUCCAUCCAUCCAUGUAUCCAUCCAUCCAUCCAUGUAUCCAUCCAUCCAUCCAUCCAUCCAUCCAUCCAUCCAUCCAUGUAUCCAUCCAUCCAUCCAUCCAUCCAUCCAUCCAUCCAUCCAUCCGGAGAACUUUCUGUCUGAGCUUCUGGGAAAGCAAGUGUGACUUUCCUUUCCCCUGCCUCUGCCUCUAGUUCCCUCACAGGAUUCUCCUCUUUCCAACUUCUGCUUUAGUACAUCCAUAGAUGUCGCCCCAGGUCUGCUUCUCCUAAUGUUCUGAUUCCACACUUUUCCUCACAUUUGCUGGUUUGCUUUGGAGGUGGGAGCUGGUGAUGCAUUUUCCUUCAAGUUUUUCAGGGGACAGUGGCACAGUGAGGCCUGAAGGUCACUUAGCUGUUCUAGGUGAUUCCAUCCAUUCUCAGCCUUAAUGUCCUCUGAAUGUUUCUAAAUCUCCUCACCGAACUCUAGCUUAAACACAGAUACUUUGGUUUGCUGACUUUUGAAUAGGUAUUUCCAAUGUGACAUUUAAAUCCAACUUGCCUGAUCCUCCAUCCCACUCCCUUUCAGGAAGCUGUGCUAACUUUAACUCUAUUGUUCGAAUGGAACAAAACCAACCAGUCAACUGUGCUAACUAAAGACACUCUGGAAUUUGUUCUUGUUUCUGUUGUUUUCCCACCUCAUCCCUCCCUUUUAGUCUAUUAGCAAAUGCCAUUGACUCUCAUAAUGCCAUCCACUCUUACAACACACACCCUGUUUGCUAUUUGUCUACACCCUCAUUAUUUUCCUCUGGUCUCAACCUUUGGGCAUAUCAUAUAUAUCCUAAAUAUCAGAUACAUAUGUGAUGAUUCAUAAGAGUAGCAAAAUUACAAUUAUGAAGUAGCAACAAAAUAAGUGUAUUGUUGGGGUUGCACAACAUGAGGAACUGUAUGAAAGAACAUUAGGAAUGUUGAGAGCCUAGUUGGAGAUACCAUCAUCUCUUGCCUGGACUUAUAGCCAUCUCCUAAGCAGACUUCCUACUUCAACCUUUCUACAUCAACUCUUCGUUCAUUUCACUUUUUAGACAGGACUCAAUUUGUUUUGUCUAAACGUGUGAAUCACCCCAUAUGCCUCUGUUCCAUUCUUCUGGUGGCAAGGGACAGGUGAAUUCUAUAGGCUUUAAAAAUUCUGGUUCUAAGCAUUGAGCUAUGAAACACAUUUUCCUCUCAGUCUCAUCUUUUCUCUAAGCUUUGUUAAUUCAUCUUGAAACCAAAACUUAGGACUCGAAAGAGUUCCCUUAACCAGGCAGGAAGUAAAUAGAGAAAAAUGCAAAGCCUGCAGCAGGCGCCAUGCCAAGCAACGGAAAUACAGAGGGUUCCGAUGACGAUGACGUCUUGAGCUUGGGCCUGCCUGGUGGGGGCGAAGGAUACUGUCAUUUCCCAGGCAUGGUGUGUCAGAUAAAAAUGUACUAUCAAGGGAAAAGACCUGAUACAAACAGGGACACCCUGAUCAGGCAUGGAUGAGACACUGUCACAGUAAGUGACAUGUUACAGACACCCAGGUUGAUUUCCUUCCUUUGUUGUGUCCAAAGGAUUCACUGUAGCAAGCUUCCUUAUGCAAAAGCAUACGUCCACACUGAUCACUCCACAUCCUCUUUUGCUCUCUCAGCUUUAGGGUUCAUUUGUAUGAAGGCCCAUGAUUAGCAGCAGUUCAGCUGCUUCUGACUGAGGGCAACACCCUUAAACCAUUUCCCUACUGUAUGCUCCUCAUGUGCAACUUUUACAUUUCAGAAGGCCCCAGUACAAAGCACAUGAAAACUGUGUCUUGGUAGAGCAUCCAUGCUGUGAUGGUUUGUAUAUGCUUGGCCCAGGGAGCUGCGCUAUUGGAAAGUGUGGCCUUGAUGGAGAUUAGGUGUGCCACUGUGGGCGUGGGCUUUAAGACCCUCAUCCUAGCUGCCUGGAAGCCAGUCUUCUAUUAGCAGCCUUCAGAUGAAGAUGUAGAAUUCUCAACUCCUCAUACACCAUGCCUGCCUGGAUGUUGCCAUCCUCCUGCCUUCAUGAUAAUGGACUAAAUCUCUGAAUCUGUAAGCCAGC
rnacentral:lncRNA from 1 species